UACAGAGGGGGCAAGCGUUGUUCGGAAUUACUGGGCGUAAAGGGCGCGUAGGCGGCCUGUUAAGUCGAACGUGAAAUCCCCGGGCUCAACCCGGGAACUGCGUCCGAUACUGGAAGGCUUGAAUCCGGGAGAGGGAUGCGGAAUUCCAGGUGUAGCGGUGAAAUGCGUAGAUAUCUGGAGGAACACCGGUGGCGAAGGCGGCAUCCUGGACCGGUAUUGACGCUGAGGCGCGAAAGCCAGGGGAGCAAACAGG
rnacentral:rRNA from 1 species